rnacentral:rRNA from 1 species
UCUGCAGUCGAGCGAAUGGAUUAAGAGCUUGCUCUUAUGAAGUUAGCGGCGGACGGGUGAGAACACGUGGGAAACCUGCCCAUGAGAGGGGGAUAACUCCGGGAAACCGGGGCUAAUACCGGAUAACAUUUUGAACCGCAUGGUUCGAAAUUGAACGGCGGCUUCGGCUGUGACUUAUGGAUGGACCCGCGUCGCAUUAGCUAGUUGGUGAGGUAACGGCUCACCAAGGCAACGAUGCAUAGCCGACCUGAGAGGGUGAUCGGCCACACUGGGACUGACACCGGCCCAGACUCCUGCGGGAGGUAGCACUAUGGGAGCUUCCGCAAUGGACGAAAGUCUGACGGAGCAACGCCGCGUGAGUGAUGAAGGCUUUCUGGUCGUAAAACUCUGGUGUUAGGGAAGAACAAGUGCUAGUUGAAUAGUCUGGCACCUUGACAGCACCUAACCACAAAGCCACGGCUAACUACGUGCCAGCAGGCGCGGGAAUACCUAGGUGGCUGAUUGUUAUCCGGAAUUAUUGGGCGUGUGGCGCGCUCAGGUGGUUUCUUCAGCCUGAUGCCCAAGCCCCCUUGCUUACUGUGGA